GCUUCCGGCCACACCUCCCUGAGCACACCCGAUCUCGUCUGAUCUCGGAAGCUAAGCAGGGUCGGGCCCGGUUAGUACUUGGAUGGGAGACCGCCUGGGAAUACCAGGUGCUGUAAGCC
rnacentral:rRNA from 1 species